ACGCUUUGGCUUGUGACCGUUCCAAGCUCACAAGGCUGUCACUUGGUCAGGAGGGACGGAAAGAAUGACCUGAAGUGAUCGGAGUCUAGGGCCCGUUAGAAGGACCGUUUUGUUGAGAUAGUUCUUUUUAGGUGUGUGCCCUGGCCAGGAGUUUGUCAUUUAUAUUUCAUGAGCUGUCAUCCAGAAACAGAAGGGAACCUUGGGAAGAAAGGAGAAAUCUUCACAUGCUUGUGAUAGAUAUCCCCCUAACUCAUUAGUGAUUUUGAGAUCUGUUACCCUCAACCUGGUUUAACUCAUCUGCUGAGAUGGUUUUCCUGGGACGUGACAUGCUCCAGCUUCUUGGAACCACAAGCUUCCACACAAGCUGCAUAUAUGACCAAAGUAUAUAAAAUGCUGUAUUCCAGUUUACUACUUAGCAUCCUGAGAGUAUUUUCAACAGGUUUCUUCCAAUCAGUGCUCACGGUAGUGGUUGGUAUGUCUGAAAUUACCAGAACUAUGUCAUCUACUUUCCUGUUUCCCCAAUACCUCCCUUAUGAAAUUUCAAACUUAAUCUGAUAUAUACCCGAGAAUAUAUGUACCAAAUACCAGAUAUGAAUGAUCUUUGUUAUUUAUGCCUUCAUAUUUUAAUUCUUCCACAGGAUAUAAAGAUAUUCUCAAAUGUAUGAUUGGAAUAGGGUAGUAAUUUGAUAGAUGCUUUCCAGAAUCACAUUGCUCAUUUUCAAUGUUCACCAUCACCUCUAGUAAGAUAAAAA